AGGGCCAGUGAAGCCAGCACACCCUUGUCUUCAGGAAAGGUAGUGAGUGGAGUAAGGGAGCAGGUCCACGAGCCCCCUGGGCAGUAUUCUAGGCAGGGAGUGAGUGGUCAUCCUGAGAAGCCAGUGCACAGUGUCUCCCGUCACCAAGGCAUGUUUUCCUGUCUUGUACCUAAUGAGAAAAGGAUGCUAAUAGCCACUCAGAAGCAGAACCCUUCACAGGCUGGACUGGCCACCUCAGCACCGUCAUCGAGAUGAAUCCUUUGAAUAGGUUGCCAGCUAAGCAGACCAACAACAGAAGAUCUCCUGCUCGAUGUGGUUGUCCCUGAUUAAAGAUGUAUAGGUGAGACUGUAGCAGGAAGAAAAGACAGAGGCAAAACAGAAAACAAGGAGAAGUUUGAAAAAGGAGUUAUGCACCGGAAAAGAAAACAUGCUCCUUAGAGUCACACCUACCUUCCAGAGGCAAAUUUAAAAUCCUUUAUACUUCUGAAAAAUCAUAGGGGUUGCUCUGGAUAUGUC
ensembl:lncRNA